AGGAGUGAGGUGUCUCAAGAAGAAGCUUCUAACUUCCCCCUUAAGCGGUUAAAAUCCGUUUUCACUCCUG
rnacentral:tRNA from 1 species